rnacentral:rRNA from 1 species
GAUUGCAUAGACAACCAGGAUGUUGGCUUAGAAGCAGCCACUCAUUUAAAGAGUGCGUAAUAGCUCACUGGUCGAGUGAUCCUGCGCCGAAGAUUACCGGGGCUAAAACUUACUACCGAAGCUACGAUAUCAUUUAUGAUAGGUAGGGGAGCUUCCUAUGCAGGCUGAAGCAUGACCGUAAGGACAUGUGGACAGUAUAGGAGUGAGAAUGUUGGCAUGAGUAGCGAGACGUGGGUGAGAAUCCCACGGGCCGUAAACCCAAGGUUUCCAGGGGAAGGUUCGUCCGCCCUGGGUUAGUCGGGACCUAAGCCGAGGCCGAAAGGCGUAGGUGAUGGACAACAGGUUGAGAUUCCUGUACCACCGAUAAUCGUUUGAGAGAUGGAAUGACACAGUAGGAUAAGCUAACCACACUGUUGGUUAUGUGUGGCUAAGUACUGAGGCAGUCAAGGCAGGCAAAUCCGCCAUGAUAAUGCUGGGGUACGAUGGGGGAGCGAAAUUAAGUAGCGAAGUAGCUGAUUUCACACUGUCGAGAAAAGUUUCUAUCGAGAUUAAAGGUGCCCGUACCGCAAACCGACACAGGUGGGUGAGGAGAGUAUCCUAAGGCCAGCGAGAGAACUGUUGUUAAGGAACUCGGCAAAAUGACCCCGUAACUUAGGGAGAAGGGGUGCCACGUUAGGGUUAACGCCCGAGGUGGCCGCAGAGAAUAGGCCCAAGCGACUGUUUACCAAAAACACAGGUUUCUGCUAAGUCGCAAGACGAUGUAUAGGAGCUGACGCCUGCCCGGUGCUGGAAGGUUAAGGGGAUCUGUUAGGAUUUAUCCGAAGCAGUGAACUUAAGCCCCAGUAAACGGCGGCCGUAACUAUAACGGUCCUAAGGUAGCGAAAUUCCUUGUCGGGUAAGUUCCGACCCGCACGAAAGGCGUAACGAUUUGGGCACUGUCUCAACAACAGACUCGGUGAAAUUGUAAUCCCGGUGAAGAUGCCGGGUACCUGCGACAGGACGGAAAGACCCCAUGGAGCUUUACUGUAGCUUGACAUUGAAUUUUGGUGCUACAUGUACAGGAUAGGUGGGAGGCUAUGAAAUCGGGACGCCAGUCUCGGUGGAGCUAUCCUUGGGAUACCACCCUUGUAGUACUGAGAUUCUAACCAGAUACCUUGAAUCAGGUAUUGGGACACUGUCAGGUGGGCAGUUUGACUGGGGCGGUCGCCUCCCAAAGAGUAACGGAGGCGCUCAAAGGUUCUCUCAGCACGGUCGGAAAUCGUGCGUAGAGUGUAAAGGCAGAAGAGAGCUUGAUUGCAAGACAUACAGGUCGAGCAAGGACGAAAGUCGGACUUAGUGAUCCGGUGGUUCCGCAUGGAAGGGCCAUCGCUCAACGGAUAAAAGCUACCCUGGGGAUAACAGGCUUAUCUCCCCCAAGAGUCCACAUCGACGGGGAGGUUUGGCACCUCGAUGUCGGCUCAUCACAUCCUGGGGCUGUAGUAGGUCCCAAGGGUUGGGCUGUUCGCCCAUUAAAGUGGUACGCGAGCUGGGUUCAGAACGUCGUGAGACAGUUCGGUCCCUAUCCGUCGCAGGCGUAGGAAAUUUGAGGAGACCUGUCCUUAGUACGAGAGGACCGGGAUGGACGUACCUCUGGUGUACCAGUUGUUCUGCCAAGGGCAUGGCUGGGUAGCUAUGUACGGAAUGGAUAAGCGCUGAAAGCAUCUAAGCGCGAAGCCAACUUCAAGAUAAGAUUUCCCACCGUAAGGGUAAGAUCCCAGGAAGACUACCUGGUUGAUAGGUCGGAGGUGUAAGUGCAGCAAUGUAUGUAGCUUACCGAUACUAAUAGAUCGAGGACUUGACCAA